UGGCGGACGGGUGAGUAACGCGUAGGAAUCUAUCUUUGGGUGGGGGACAACCGUGGGAAACUACGGCUAAUACCGCAUGAGGCCUGAGGGCUAAAGCUUGUGAGAGCGCCUGAGGAGGAGCCUGCGUCCGAUUAGCUAGUUGGUGGGGUAAAGGCCUACCAAGGCUGCGAUCGGUAGCUGGUCUGAGAGGAUGAUCAGCCACACUGGGACUGAGACACGGCCCAG
rnacentral:rRNA from 1 species